rnacentral:rRNA from 1 species
AUGGCGUCAUACAACCUCGAGGGUUCUGCCCAGCUGUGGUACAUGCAGGUCCAGCGUGACGAGGGCACUCCGCCGUGGCGCCGCUUUUCCGAGCUGCUCAACCUCCGCUUCGGGCCUCCUCUGCGCGCGAACCCGCUGGGCGAACUGAUGGCGUGCAAGCGCACGACGUCCGUCGUCGACUUCCAGGAGCGGUUUGAGGCGCUCCUUCCCCGGGCAGGCUCCUUGUCGGAAACGCAGAAAGUUCAGAUCUUCACCGCAGGCCUCCAGCCACCCCUUAGCCUCGACGUGGAAAUCCAUAACCCGCAGUCCCUCGCCGUCGCCAUGAGCCUCGCCCGCAAAUUGGAGCUGCGCGACCAGUGCGCGCUUUCCGCCGCGCCACCGGUGCGUUUUCCGCAGAAGGGCAUUCUGCCGACGCCAGGACCACGCCUCGCGCCCCCCGCACCGGCCCCACCAGCCGCACCCCAGCAUGGCCACAGUCUGCCGGACGGGCGCCCAAUCAAACGUCUCUCCCAGACAGAGAUGGAGGAACGCCGUCGCCUGGGCCUAUGCUUCAACUGUAACGAGAAGUUUGGCAGGGGCCACAACCGCGUGUGCCAGCGCAUCUUUCUCCUCGACUUAGCGCCGGACGACGACGACGACGCGGCCUCCGCUACUGAUGAUGCAUCGCGGGCCGACCCUCAGAUCUCGCUCCACGCAAUCUCCGGGGUGCGCACGAGCGAAACCAUGCAGAUGCAUAUUACUCUCGGGGGUGUCUCCCUCCUCGCCCUGAUCGACUCAGGCUCCACCCACAACUUCAUCGCCGAGGAGGCGGCCGCUCGUGCUACGCUGCCAUCCCCCACCACCGAGAAGAUGCGCGUCACGGUGGCCAACGGCGAGCGCGUUCCGUGCCAGGGCGCGUACCGCGUCGUGCCCUUCCGCAUCGGCCAAGAGGAGUUCUCGGAGGAUUUCCUCGCCUUGCCGCUCGCGGGCUACGACAUCGUCCUGGGCACGCAGUGGCUGGCGACGCUUGGACCGAUCCUGUGGGAUUUCCGCGCCCUCUCCAUGACAUUCUGGCGGAGGGGCCAUCGGGUGUGCUGGCGCGGCAUUGCAGGACCGGACGGGCCAGCCCUGAAAUCAUAA